CCAACCAAGCAUUCAAUGAGCUUAUUUGCUUUAGCCUGGAGAGAAAAGUCAUGAUAUGCUGCUGAAUUACAUCAGCGAGGAACCAAAGUGUUACCCUUGGUGGUUAAGGAUUCCUUGGCAGUUCACAAGGGGCCAUUUAACUCAUAAUCGUGGAAGAGGACAAAGAAAUCAUUUCAGCUUGGUAUGAUGAGAGCGAUAAUGAAGAUAUGCAGAAGAGGGGCCCCUCACAUAGACUGUGGGGUUCAAAGAAGACAUCCUAGAUGAGGUAAUGCAGAGCUAAGCUUCCCAGAAGAAGCAAGAAUGCAUCAGGCAGGAUGAGGGUGGUAAUGGUGGAUGGGUAGGGUGGGAUGAAGUGUUUCAAGAAAAACAGCGUCGUGACAUACACAAUUGUUACUUUUCGGAUGACCAGCAGCUGCACCCCACACUGAUUUAUUCUGGGGACUUAAUCUGUCUCCUUACCCAGUGCCCACUGUUGUACUGUCGACAGGAGGGAAUACACAGGUCCCUUUCUCCUAGAGACUUGAGUUAAACACCCUUCCUUACGUGAUCUCAAUAGUACAACGACAGCAAGCUGAGCUAUGCCAUUCAGAUUUCUCUCUCCUUGAACUUCACUUUUGACCCAAGGCUGGAAUGAAGACUUGGAGGUAAUUCACUGCAAUACUGGCAUGCCUAGUGGAUUGUUCCCAUUGGAACACUCCUGCUGUCCAUUCUAUUUCCUCCUUAGUAUCCAUGGUUCCUGCCUCUUCCCAAGCCUCAGCCCCCAUAUCCUUUCAGUACAUCUCCUUUUGUUUCAACUGGUUAAACGAUUCCAUUAUGGGGGAAAAGAGAGAGAGAGAGAGAGAGAAGUAGAUCAGAAAGUGUCUCACAUGACACACAGAGGCAUUUCAACUUUAUGCCUGAGGCAUCAGGAAGGCUUGAUGAUUCGUCGUAGAAUUCUUUUGAGAAGGUGUACCAUGGAUUGGCUGAACCAAAAGAGGAAGAAGAGAGUUUUGUGUCCAUUUAGACUGGAAAACAAGACCCGAAGGAAGAGUUUGCUAUAAUUCUAUGGCAGUGACUCUGAAUUUGGGGGAGGUGCCAGACGGCUUUGAGAAUCUUAGCGAAUACUUUGGACUCUUUGUAGAAGAAUGCACAUCGGCACAACAUCCCGCAGUCAAUUUCAGAGAGUUUGAAGGGUCUUUAGAUCCGAGGUUAAAAAUCUCUGCCUUGGCGGUGGGGUGGGGAAGGCGCGGUGGCGAGCUGAGGAAUAAAGCCUCUGAUGUUUGGUGCCUUCGUCA
rnacentral:lncRNA from 1 species